rnacentral:lncRNA from 1 species
CCACCUCCUAGUACCAUCACACUAGGAUUCGGGUUUUAUCAUACUAAUUUUAUGGGGACGCAUUCAGUCCAUUGCAGCCAUCAAGAUUCCUGGCCCCUGGUAAACACAGGCCUUCUCUCAGUUAUUCAGUCAAACACUAAUCCAGGUGCUGCUGUGAAGGGAUUUUGCAGAUGUCACUAAAUUCCCAAAUCAGUCAACUUUAAAACAGGGAGAUUAUCCAGCCUGGCCAAAUCUAGACGGAAACCAGCUCCCAUGGGGGUAUGGGAGAUGAUGUCUCCAGGGCUCACCCUUCCAGGGCAUGGAGGAGGAGAGAGAAGGAUGGAGAACGGAUGGGGAGUGGAAGUGCAAAAAA